GCGAUAAACAAUAACAAUUAUUAUUGGCACAAAUAGUCACAUCACUGCUGAGUAACGAAUGUACCAAGAUAAGAAGUCAAGCUGUAAUUUCAGUCCUGCUAUCUUUCCAAAGAACAUGCAGCCAAGAUAACCUUACCAUUCAGCACGAUAGCCUCCUGCAAAAGCUGGGGCAGGGAGUGUUCUCACUGGGGAGGCCUCCUUUGCUCACAGGAGGUGCAAAAACAGGCAGUAAGAAGACCUACUUCAAGUCCAGGCUCCACUAACAACCAGAUUCAAAAAGAGAAUUCAUCACUUUCAAACUACUGGUUCAGAAGACUUCAGGAUUUCCAACUUCUCUGAAAACACAGGAACGAUCUGGCAACCCGGGGCCACAGCAGCAAGGCCUGGAGUGUGGCCCGUGCCGCCCCCGUCUCCCUGGCACUCAUGGACCGAUAACAGCUUCCCCUGGUCUGUGAUCAACUGAAACCGAUCCCACGCACAGCUCUCUUCAGAGCCUUGACACAGCACCAACCUGAGGGCCAGGGCCUCCAGAAUUUACAUGUUCCAUUGAUCAGCCCAAACCACUCGAGUUCUGUUUUCUGACCAGUAAUCAAAAGGCCCUGACAAUAACUUCAAGACAAGCGCCAGGAGAGUUUCCGUUUAUAUUGCACAAAGCCGUGAUUGGAAACAUAUGGACAGUCAGGACGCUGCGAAAGAAAACUCUGGAGUUCUUAGUCGAUUGGGUUUGGGGACUGCCCCCCUAGCCAGCUCUGCCGGCCUGCCCUAUCGCUGAGGACACAGGCCUGGCUGCCGUCUUGCUCCCCAGGCCCCCAGGAAGGAGUUCCUUACCUCUCCCCUCAUUUUACAGCUCAGGGUGCAGCCAACGGAGGGUGAGUCAUUCACCCAACUCUUUUCC
ensembl:lncRNA